GAUGAACGCUGGCGGCGUGCCUAAUACAUGCAAGUCGAGCGAACGGACGCGAAGCUUGCUUCUCUGAUGUUAGCGGCGGACGGGUGAGUAACACGUGGAUAACCUACCUAUAAGACUGGGAUAACUUCGGGAAACCGGAGCUAAUACCGGAUAAUAUUUUGAACCGCAUGGUUCAAAAGUGAAAGACGGUCUUGCUGUCACUUAUAGAUGGAUCCGCGCUGCAUUAGCUAGUUGGUAAGGUAACGGCUUACCAAGGCAACGAGGCAUAGCCGACCUGAGAGGGUGAUAGGCCACACUGGAACUUAGACACGGUCCAGACGCCUGCGGGAGGGCGCAGUAGGGAAUCUUCCGCAAUGGGCGAAAGCCUGACGGAGCAACGCCGCGUGAGUGAUGAAGGUCUUCGGAUCGUAAAACUCUGUUAUUAGGGAAGAACAUAUGUGUAAGUAACUGUGCACAUCUUGACGGUACCUAAUCAGAAAGCCACGGCUAACUACGUG
rnacentral:rRNA from 1 species